GCCCCACAUCGGGCUUUGUGCUGAAUGCUUGUUCAGAGCCUGAAGCCUGCUUCCGAUUCUGUGUCUCCCUCUCUCUCUGCCCCUUCCCCGUUCAUGCUCCGUC